rnacentral:tRNA from 1 species
GCGGGUGUCGUAUAAUGGUAUUACCUCAGCUUCCCAAGCUGAUGAUGUGGGUUCGAUUCCCAUCAUCCGCUCCA